rnacentral:sRNA from 1 species
ACAGGGAUUGCCCUAGUAACGGCGAGUGAAGCGGCAACAGCUCAAAUUUGAAAUCUGGCUUCGGCCCGAGUUGUAAUUUGUAGAGGAUGCUUUUGGCGCGGUGCCUUCUGAGUUCCCUGGAACGGGACGCCACAGAGGGUGAGAGCCCCGUAUAGUCGGACACCAAGCCUUUGUAAAGCACCUUCGACGAGUCGAGUAGUUUGGGAAUGCUGCUCAAAAUGGGAGGUAAAUUUCUUCUAAAGCUAAAUAUUGGCCAGAGACCGAUAGCGCACAAGUAGAGUGAUCGAAAGAUGAAAAGCACUUUGAAAAGAGGGUUAAAUAGCACGUGAAAUUGUUGAAAGGGAAGCGCUUAUGACCAGACUUGCGCCGGGUUGAUCAUCCAGUGUUCUCACUGGUGCACUCUGCCCGGCUCAGGCCAGCGUCGGUUCUCGUGGGGGGAUAAAAGCUCUGGGAACGUGGCUCCUCCGGGAGUGUUAUAGCCCGUUGCAUAAUGCCCUCGCGGGGACCGAGGUUCGCGCUCUGCAAGGACGCUGGCGUAAUGGUCAUCAGCGACCCGUCUUGAAACACGGACCAAGGAGUCGAGGUUUUGCGCGAGUGUUUGGGUGUAAAACCCGCACGCGUAAUGAAAGUGAACGUAGGUGAGAGCUUCGGCGCAUCAUCGACCGAUCCUGAUGUAUUCGGAUGGAUUUGAGUAAGAGCGUAUAGCCUCGGACCCGAAAGAUGGUGAACUAUGCCUGUAUAGGGUGAAGCCAGAGGAAACUCUGGUGGAGGCUCGCAGCGGUUCUGACGUGCAAAUCGAUCGUCAAAUAUGGGCAUGGGGGCGAAAGACUA